GGCACAGCCGGAAAGGUGUUCUCGCUCUCAACAAAGGAAGUAAUUGCAACCUUACCAACAGGAUCCGACAUCCACUGCAUAACUGCCAACAAUGAUUUUGUAUUUAUAGGAACUAAAAGUGGAAUAACUGAUGUCUAUUUAAGAGAAUGACUUGUUAGAGUUGCUUCCAUUAAAACAGGGGGUGGAAGAGAAAGCUCAAAAAUCACAAGUUUGGCAUCAGAUUCUGAAGGAGAAAUGCUUUAUACAGGUUCCUCCAGUGGCAAGAUUCAGAAAAAAGGUUAGAUUUUUGAAGAAUACAAGUGUGUUUACUAAAUGUCCGAGAGAGUUUUUCUUUGCCUAUGCACGGUAGUAUCUUUAUCAUGCAGCGUUUGUGCCACCAUGGCGCCACUGGUCGUGACAUUAGGAUUACAUAUGAAUUAGGGCCGUAAUUUGCAAGUUAUGACGGGUAACCCACCACCAACAAGUGAAAGCCAUUUGGACCAAUUCUUAGGUUUAUAUCCUGUCAUACACCUCAAAUAUCCUUCCAAGUAUGAAUUCACUUUCAGCUUGCCCAUAUGUUUUUGGGUGGUAGACAAUACUCAGGUGUAAUCUAGUUCCCAAGGACCUAAAAAGUUCUUGCCAAAAUACCUUGUCUCUGUCAGAAAUUACGGAAGCAUGUAACCUAUGUGACU